CAGCCGCGGUAAUUCCAGCACCAAUAGCGUAUAUUAAUGCUGCUGCUGUUAAAAAGCUCGUAGUUGGAUCAAGAGUUGGACAGUGCACGGUGGCCCUGUUUGUCAUAGUGGUUCCGAUCACUGUGACGGCAGCGGAUCAACCCCGUGCGCCAAACUGUCCACUCUAACAGACCGAAACGGUUCCCUGUGAGUAGGCUCCUUAAUUGGGGCUGAAAGCGCUUACGCAUCAACCAUAUGCAUACGGGACGUCGGUCAAUGUUACUGUGAACAAACCAGCGUGUCCAAAACAGGCUUUCGCCUGAAUGUUCAAGCAUGGAAUAACAAGGGAUCGAUUCUCUCGGUUCUUUUUGUUGGUUUUUAACCCGAGAAGGAGUAAUUCAGUCCACGGUGUCUGAGUUGGGUUUCCCUUCACCUCGGUGGAGGCCCCAAUUAGGCCGUGUACUUACGGGAUAAAUAGGGACUGACGGGGUCGUACGUACUUCCACGUCAGAGGUGAAAUUCUUAGAUCGUGGGAAGACGAACUUCUGCGAAAGCAUUCGACAAGAAUGUCUUCAUUAAUCAAGAACGAGAGUGUGGGGAUCGAAGAUGAUCAGAUACCGUCGUAGUCCACUACUGUAAACAAUGCCGUCUCAGGAUUGAGAAGUGAACAGAAUGACUUUCACAGCACUAACCCCUGAAACGAGAAAUCAAAGAUUAUGGGUUCAGGGGGGAGUACAUUCGCAAGGCUGAAACUUAAAGGAAUUGACGGAAUGACACCACAAGGCGUGGAGUAUGCGGCUUAAUUUGACUCAACACGGGGAAUUUUACUAGGUCAGGACAAUGUAAGGAUUGACAGAUUGAGAGCUCUUUCUCGAUCCAUUGUGUGGUGGUGCAUGGCCGCUCCUGGUUGGUGGAGUGAUUUGUCUGGUUGAUUCCGUUAACGAACGAGAUCUCGACCCUUAAAUAGGUGCCCAUGUCGAUUGUAGUUUCGCCUUCGCUCGCUUGCGAGAUUGGAGCGGGACGAGACUGUGGGAAUACUUCUUAGGGGGACUGUGUGCGUCUCUAGCACGCGGAAGAGCGAGCCAAUAGCAGGUCUGUGAUGC
rnacentral:rRNA from 1 species